CUAUACGAUCCUUAAGAGAAUCCAAAAUAUAGACAAUGCGAUUGCGAAGGGAAAUCACCAAGAGCACCCAAUGCUUACUAGAAAUGUUUAAACAUUUAGUAUAAAUAAUAAGAAAACCAACAAAAUAAUAAUAAUAAAGAUAAGAAAUUAUUGUACUUUUGCAAAUAUGGUGCAAUGAGAAACAAUUUUCCAUGGUGCAGACGAAUGGAAUCAACAAGAUAACUAACGACACCCUCUGGGUUUUUCUGGAAUGCCUCCCCUAGAAUAUUAUAAGGGUUCAAGAAAGCACAUUUGUUC
rnacentral:lncRNA from 1 species